GCUGGGCAUGGUGGUGCACUCCUGUAAUCCCAGCCAUUCUGGAGGCUGAGGCAGGAGAACCAUAAGUCAGAGGGCAGCCAACUUUAGCGGAAACCUGUCUCAA
rnacentral:sRNA from 1 species